UUGAUUGUGUUCGAACUC
rnacentral:siRNA from 1 species